UACAGAGGGGGCAAGCGUUGUUCGGAAUUACUGGGCGUAAAGGGCGCGUAGGCGGCCUGUUAAGUCGAACGUGAAAUCCCCGGGCUCAACCCGGGAACUGCGUCCGAUACUGGCAGGCUUGAAUUCGGGAGAGGGAUGCGGAAUUCCAGGUGUAGCGGUGAAAUGCGUAGAUAUCGGGAGGAACACCUGCGGCGAAAGGCGGCCAUCUGGCC
rnacentral:rRNA from 1 species